GCGGCGGACGGGUGAGUAACGCGUGGGUAACCUGCCUCAUACACAUGGAUAACAUACCGAAAGGUAUGCUAAUACAGGAUAAUAUAAGAGAUUCACAUGGAUUUCUUAUCAAAGCUCCGGCGGUAUGAGAUGGACCCGCGUCUGAUUAGCUAGUUGGUAAGGUAAUGGCUUACCAAGGCGACGAUCAGUAGCCGACCUGAGAGGGUGAUCGGCCGCAUUGGAACUGAGACACGGUCCAAACUCCUACGGGAGGCAGCAGUGGGGAACAUUGCACAAUGGGCGAAAGCCUGAUGCAGCAACGCCGCGUGAGUGAUGAAGGCCUUCGGGUCGUAAAACUCUGUCCUCAAGGAAGAUAAUGACGGUACUUGAGGAGGAAGCCCCGGCUAACUACGUGCCAGCCGCUGC
rnacentral:rRNA from 1 species